GUGACUUUCCUUAAUGCUCAAGUCAGGCUGGUAUCAGUGAAGACUAAGAGGCCAUGAGAUUAGGGUUUCAGGUGCACCAAAUUUAAUCCAGGACAGCCAAUUUUCUGUAGGUUCCUAGGAGCUGCUGUUUCCCUGCUAAGUAACCAGUGGGAAGGGACAGGCAGCUGUUUGUACCUGCAGUGCUGAUCUUUUGGAGUGUCUCAGCUUUGUACCUGCUCUGCAUUUCCACCUGAACACACCUUUUCUCUCCUGGUUAAAGAGGAAACUCUGCCCCGUCCCUACCAUGGGUGUCUGAACUCAUGAGGGAUCAGGCCAACCUGUCUCCUGCUUACAGGAACACAGAGGAUCAAGAUGAGCUGACUGCUUCCCUGCACCAUCCUCCUCUCAGCCAGAACCUGUGGAGGUCUUACAGAAAAUCUGCUAUGAGAGCAGCAUGAAGAUGCUUCUGCUGGUAUUCCACAGGAUGUGGGCAGCACAUCAGCAGGAGGCACUGCUUUAUGACUGCGCUUGCUGCAGGCAAUUCCAGCGAGUCAGGGCCUCGGUUGGAGCUGACUGUACAGAGCUUGCCAAAGCUGCUGAAAGGGGAAGCAGGCAGCAGGGGAAAAGGGCUUUCCCCCUCUGUUAUCUCAAGUACAAUCCCCACGUCGCCUUGCACCGCAUUGCUCAUACUUCACCCAAGAGUGCCUCAUCCUUGUCUUCUGGCAGGGGAGGUGGGAGAGAAACGACCUGGUUGUGCUAAAGCCAGCCUCCCUGACGUGUGUUUUCUGGCAGAACUGUUUGAAUCCCUUUCUGAUAGGAUUGCUGCCUUCGUGCUGGUGAGAGAGGAGUCCUGUCACGGGGCAGUCACUGCACGGGUAUUGUUGGACUCAGUGAUCAUGGGUGGACUUGGUCUUGAAAGUCUCCAACCUGAAUGAGUCAUGGUCACAGAAUGGAAAAGCACUCGGAAUGCUGUCAGGAUUGCUGUUUUGUGCUGAAGUUAACAGGGAGGUGUGUUAUUCCUGCUUCUUGUGCAUAUCCAGAUAGCAUCAGUAAAGCUGGGUCUAAUCCCUACACAGGCUACAGGAAAACUGUUGCUCAGGACACCAUGGGUAACCUUGGUAGGUUCUGGAGAGUGCCAACACUUAAAUUGUCACCUGCCCUGGGAAUACCAUGCCCAGACUGCUUGCACUUUCAGGAGUACAGGGGGAGUUCCUGGAAAAUUUGGAAGAGGAACCCUUGCCAGGUUACUCUGGUGUGGGGCCAGCAGGUCUGCUGCCCAUCUGGCUGCCCCGGGGCUGCUGGAGGAAAAAUGGGGUCUCUCUACGGAAGGUGCUGUGGUGGCACGGCAGCUACUGCCCUUGUCAGCUGGAUUUUGUUUCCAUGCCACCUCCUGUGGUGGGUGGAAGCCCUGAGCAGCAGAGUUCAUCGCCUUGCUGUCUGCUCUGGAUGACUAAUGUUUACUCGCCUGCCUUUAAUCCCCGGUGUCUUUCUGUGAGUUUGGGCCAACAGCAGGGCAGGAGCAGGAGCUACAGAGAGGCUGGAGAGCACCGAGACACAGAACACAAUGCAAGACUCUCAGUAAAAAGCCCUGGCUUGUUUGCUCUAAUCAAAGUCAAUGGAUUAGAUUUAGAAGACAUUAUUGUGGUGUUUUCCAAUCCACAGCAGCUCAGUGGGCUGCUAGCUCUAAAAGUGGGUCUCUGCAGUUGAGAAUAAACUGGCUGAGAGGAAGUCCUAUACGUGCUAUGUCCAGAUCAUGCCACAAAGACUAGUAGCACAGAGACUACACUACUAGGCCAUGCUUGCAACCACUGCAAAGCUGGAUUUUUCCAGGAGUAAGCCAGAUGUCUGUCAAGGAUUACUUUAACUGUUGCUGCUGCAUUGCAUCCUCUUGUAAAUGCAUUUUUUAUCAGAGACAGCAUCUUUCACUGGAAGCAACAACAGCCCAGGACUUUACUGAAGGCGAACUUCAACUCUAGCAGGGGAUGGUGCUGAAAUGGAGCAGCUGUGCCCAGUGGUGGCACUGCUGUGGCUGUGCUGCUGAGGGGCCUGGGGUCUGCCAGGCCAGCUGUCAUUGUGCCAGGAGCCCCACACAGAGCAUAAAACUGGUUGUUUAUUCAUUUCUCCAGCGUGUGUUUGGGUAAACGACACAGUUUGUGUGCCUGAAACACCCAUAGCCAGAUGUGCUGCUUCCCCCCAGCCCUUGUGGGGAUUUGGGAUGCUAGGAGAGCCGUCCCAGCCAGCUGAGCCAAGCUGGAGGCAGCAGAUAAGGGAAUCCAGCAACUUGUCUCGGGAGGUGAGCAAGUUGCUGAGGUCUUAUUAUGAAGGAGCUUUACACAGGUUGUUUGGUAGAAGAAACCAAGACCACGUCUUCCUUCCCAGGACAAUCCCAGAGAUACAAAGCUGCUUUGCGUAUCCUCACAGCCUUCACUUUUGCUCUCUCCUUACCUCUCCUGGCUCCACGCACCCCGACAUGGGUGGCAUACCCAGUCCAAGAAGACUACGCUUUCCUGUUAGAUUAUUCUUGGCAGUCUGUAGGUUCUUUAUAACUGGUUCUCUGAGAGAGCUGAGAAAGAUCAACACGCACUAUGUCAUUUUGUCUGUGAGGCAGGAGGCAAUGGGGGGACAGCCAGGCAAAGGGGGAGAGCAGCAGACCUAUGGAAACUGAGGUCUCGUGUCAGUCUGUCUUAGGGGGCAUGUCAGCCAGAGAAUUAAGGCUUAGAACAAUACAGCAAAGUGUGGGGCUGCUGGAGUCACUGGGGUUGUGCUACUUCACGGCUAAUCUCAGCUAAUGCCAUUUUUGAGGAAGGUAGAAGAUGAAGCAAGAGCUGUGGACUCUAAGGCUUGCACAGGAACAAAUACAAUGUGUUUGUGCUGCAGGAAUGGGGCUGCAGGUCAUGCUGCACUGCCCCUAAAACCGUGUAGGUAAGGCACUAAUGCCAGUGUAGAGGUUAAAUCCUGCAGCUAAUCCCUUCAGCACACUCCCUAAUUUUACAUAGUAGGAGAGAAAGCCAGCCCAGUCCUUUUUCCAGCAGCAUCCAUGGCAUAUAAAAGCACAGUUCUUUUCCCCUGCCCAGGUAUUAUCCAAGUCACGCCCUUGCCCAGUGAAAUUUGAGAGUUCUAAGUAUGCAAAGCAGAUCCACAGCACACACACUUCUGCUAGGAAAAUCACCGGCUACCUCCAGAAACACACACAAAAAAACAAGCAGUCUACUUCUGUGACACUUUCCUUUCCAAAAUAUUCCACAGAUGUGAGUUCUUACCCCAUUGCAGCGAGGUUGGUCCCCUGGUUUUGCAGAGGGGGAAGCCAAGCUAUUGAGUGGGUCAAAUGAUGUCAUUGAGACGGCCGUCAGUAGAGUUGCUGUCUUCUGAUCCUCAGCCUUUCUGCAUCCUGUGUUUGAGCAGGCACACAAGCUAACUUCUUGGCAACAUCAGGCGAUGUAUGAAAUCAGCCUUCUACUGUCAACUUCUCCAAUAUUUCAUGGCAUAAUGAAGCUAAUUGACUCGGUAGACCUGCAAUUUCACACAUAACAACUCACACAUUACUAAGCAAACAACAGUAAUUCAGGAACCACAGUUCUCACAAGAUGAGAUCAUGUCCAUUUCGUUUCUAACACAGCAUUUCUGUUCUAUAUUUGCCUGACACCUAGGUGAAAGCCAUCUACUUGUUUUACGCCAUUUUAGCAAAGAGCUGGGAAUAACCAGUGCUGAGUUUGUAAGGGAAGGUUUUCAAGAGCAAGGGGUUUAGCCCUAAAACUUAAAUUUGCUCAUGCGGUGUAUUAAGAAUUGUCCACAAUACACUAAGAUUGAGCACAAGGCCAAGAAAACAGUUCCAUCUUCAAAGCAGAAUUGAUGUGUGGAGUUAACAUAGUGCUAACAACUCUAAUGUCAUAAGGAACGGGGUUUUCAAGAAAUUCCAAAUUCUGGAACCAGGUGAUGAUGUGGGACAUUCAAUGUUCAUUUAAAACAUAAACAUGUUCCAUGUAGUUGGUUGAAACUGUGAACUUCCAAUCUCAGAAGCUAUAUAAAAAGAAGCCAGAAAGUUUAAGUCCUAAAAGUCUUGUGAUUUAAGAUAACUUUGCGGGAAGUGUAGGAACUAUAUAAUUAGUAGUUGAGCCACUGCCAGGAUGUGAGUACUUCUCAGGCUGCUAACACGUGGUGUACACCUGACUGUCACAGCUGGAGGGGUCCAGGUGAAAAGUGGUGGUAAAAAAGUGGUGGUAAAAACUAACAGUUUGUCUGCAUGGGGAAAUGCAACACAGAGACAUCCAAAUUAGCACAAAACGGGUCCUGGAAGCAGGACGUUCAGAGGAGAUAACGAUAUGAGAGAGGAGUAUGAAGUUGCCACCAUCUUUGUCCGGGACAUAGCAAUUAAAUUUGUAGGUGCACCUAGACUGCUUAUUGCAAAGAAAGCUGUGAUUUGCAAAGUAAAAAGGUGACUUCGGUCCAUCCUGUGGAUCUAGGAAAUAGCUGUAGGCACACUCAGAGGCUGGAUCCCCCCAAAAAGCAUUUGAUCCUUCAAAUUUCUGAACCUUUGAGCAAGAUAGGCACACCUCCACCAUUUUGUGGAGCAGAUCAGCCUGGAGUGCACCCACCGCCAGUCACUGCAGCACGGAAGAGGAAUGAUAUCUCAUCGCACAGAAGUGCAACCAUCAACUAGCUGACCAUGGCCUGAACAUCCAGGGCUUGGGCCAGAUCAGCCUUCUGACAGGCCAACGAAAACUGGGUGAUAGAACAGAGAGCUGCAAGUUUGUCGUAGGAAUGAAGUUUUCCAGCACAUGAGGGAGCUUGGUGGUGUUUACCAUCAGGAGAUGAUUGGAGGCCAGUUGGACACAAGGAGUUCAGUGUCACAAGAUGAUGGAGAACUGAGCACCAUUUAUGGAGACUCUGAAAGGAAUAAACAGGAAAGCAAACGUCAGAGAGGGAAGGAAUUUGCCUUCAAAUGGAUGGCCUCCAAGGGCAUCUGCUCACAGUCUAACCACGAUAAUGAUUUAUUGUCUGCUUUGGGCUGACUUUAACCUCACUUGACUGCCAAAUGCAGAGUAUAGGCCUGCCUUGCCCUGGGGAGCUCACAGUACAAAAUACAGACUCACAGGAGAGAUGACAAGUGGGGAAUAAGCAUAGGAAAGGAGAAGAUUUUGCCAGGUAUGGAUUUUGUCAGCACUGGGAGGGAUCUUGCUCUCUUCAAACCAAAAGUGGCUUGUAAACUGAUUUUGGUGGUCUUCAGCAAGUUAUAAGCAGCUUGCUCUCAAGUUCAAAUGAGUGGGAUCAUGCAAAAGGCUUCAUCCCUCCAUCCUUGUGGACUUGAAACUGCAUUUAAAGGAAUUUCUCCCAUAUACGUGGCCAUAGCAUCAGUAAAAAUCAUCUGCAGUGCACCCAUGCACCAUGUGAGCACUUCUGACAGGUACUCGGGUACUUUCUUUGGAAGGGAAAUGUGGCAGAACUUCACUGUUAUUGGAAAGGGACGGUAAUCCGGAUCGCCUCGGCAAGGAUAUGUGGAUAGAUACGUGUGCUGGCCUCUCUGUGCUUAGUUAACCUCUUUGUGGCCAUUGCUGCAACAAGUCCUGCAUCUCAGCAUUGGAAACCAGGGGGAAAGAGGCAAUGCUGAGAGAAGGGAGAACUGAGACAGACGUGGAGCUUGUCUUGGGAGCUGUAAAACACAGGACUUCUUGUUGACAGCUGUGCCCCUGAUGUUCUUCUGUGCCAUGCCAGGAGCCUCAGUGGUAAAUGAUAACAUUUCAAGGGGAAGGUGCAUGGCUAACACCCCCUUCCAGUGAUGCUCACCCAGGAACACUUCCCUUCUGUGCAUAACCCUGAAAAAUGGAGACUACUGGAAGCGAGCUGGGAGCACGAGGGGAUCCUUGUGAUAGCUGCACCUCAGAAGAAGCCUUGAGGCCAAAGAUGGUCACCAGCACCAGUGCCUGGCAAAAAUCUCACCAUCUGAGAAUGCUGUUGGGAAUUCUCCUUCCCUAUGAAGCCAGUAAGCCUUCAGUAUCUCUGGACUUGGACUCCAGAGUGUGUUUGAACAUGACCCCAAACUUUGAAUCCAACCUCAGAAUCAGUCUGGCUCUCGGUCAAGAGGAGCAUUUUUGCAGCCAAUUUCUGCUCAGUUCCACGACCUACAUCCAGUUCUCAGCAACCCUGGAGUGAGAUCUGAAGUAACACCAUAGAUGCUGGUAUAGGUAUACAUCGCAGAGCCUGAAAUCAGAAUUUGACUCGGCUCCUCAGUGUUUAUCACAAUCCCUCCUUUCUGAAACGCCUUUUUGCCCCUGUCUUCUGGAGGCUCAUCAGGGGGUGUCUUUGCAAACAGAAUUUAUGUACUGUGGCCAGAUCUAAGCUUCAGUACUCUUUAUUCCCUCGCAUUUGCUUAUGAGCUGGAACUUCAGCAGGCUGAGAUGAGGGAACUUGCUCCCAAUUAAAAACACGCCAGUGCCCUCUUAUGUGAGAAGCCUGCACUGCUGCCUGCUGGGGAUGUCCUGCAAGACUUUCGGGGGUCCUCUUUCUCUUCAAGGCCUUGGGUUGUUCUCGUUCCAUGUGCAGUGCUCACAUUCCUCUUUGUCUCUGAUGUUCUGAAAUGAGAAUAGUUAAUUUCUGUGCUCACUGCAGGGAUGAGUUCUGGCAGAUCACGGCUCAGCUAGGCUGGUGCUUGACAUGCAGAGCAGUUCUGCAGUUUGAGAGGGAUGUAGAGUAAAACUGCAUGAAAAAUUGCUUUUUCUGUUUCCUGGCUCACUGAGAAUUUAGGAAAGAAUAUUUACUUUGAGUUGAGCCAAAGCAACAGGAGAAAAUUAAACAUGCUGUUUUAGGUUAGGGUUCUUCCCCAUUUUUUAAUUAAGAUUCAGUAGAUAGACUCCUGAAUGGAAUGCUGCUUCAAACUGAAACACCAAAACACGCUAUUUUGCAAAUAAAUUAACAUUUUGCACUUUAAAGAAAGAGAUUUUCAUCCUGAUUUCUAAAGCAAUGGGAUGAAUUCACAACAGGCAACUUCAGCAGAUACCAAUCGGCCUCGCUCGGUGCGGACAAUGUUUUGCCAGCAAAGGCCUGAAGUUCAGUGCAAAGGCAGGGUGGGCUGGGGUCAGAAUCACCGGGCAAGCAGAAAAACAACCCCAGGGAGAUGAGCAAGUCAGAGAAUGUCAGGAUAUUGAGACAAUGAACCAAGCUGUGUGUUCUUGGGAAAUGGUUGCAGUCCUCCAAGGUGGCUCGGCAGUGGGCAGAAAAGCUGUUCCUUAAGAGAGAAAUGUUGUGCUGAUAGAAGCUGUGAGUAGGAAUGACAACAGUCUGCCCAAAGAGGGAGAAAUAUUUGCUUUCCCCUUCUGGAGUCCAUUCAGCAGUGGUAAGCAGACCACUUGCAGAAUUUGCCUUAAAUUUGCUGAGCCCUUGCAGCUUUACUGCACUCUUGCUCCAUCCCCACCUUGGAAGAAAUAACCUGGUCCUGCUCUCUGCUUUCUGCCUCCAUCCCUUCUGCCUCCAUCCCUUCUCUUCAUCAACACCGUGGGUUCUGCUGUGGGUGGGCAGAUCUUAUCUUGUCCUCUCCUUGGCUAUAACUCUUGCAGCUCCAACGUGGCAGAAAAAUUGGUUGUUCUCGGGUUGUGUGUGGUUGGUGUGCUUGUUUGCUUUUGUUUGUUUGUUUUCCUUUUGUGGGUUUUUAAAAAAAGUGUCUCGUGUCUCUGUUAUUCCAUCCUUCCUCUGCAAGCCCAUGUCCUUGUGCAGAACAUGCUGCUACAGAGCUGGGGACGCGAAACCACAGAUGAGAGUAGGAAAUGAAUGUAUAAAUCAGAGCAUUACCACGGCGCCCGCUAGCAGUGCCAUACCAGACAGAGGACACUGCCUUACGUUGUCUCGCCCAUAAACCCCUUUGGAAGGGGCUUGGAUUACCAUUUGCCAUUUUGGCUUGGCCCCUGGCUCCACCUCUGCAGAAAGCUUGGCUGAGUGGCACUGCAGAAUCUGAGAGGGAGAAAGCCCGGUAGGUUUGAUGGCUGCAAGAUGAUACUCUUCCCUGCUCUCUGUCUGUUGUUUUACAGCUCCUCCAAGUAAGAAGUACACAGGAGAAAAAAAUCAAUUGGUUUCAUUUAAUAUAGUGGGGUUUCUAAACAAUCACUCAGGCUGCAAAGUGGAUCAAUCACUUCGGCCUCUUGACAGAGGAAAUACUAAAUCAAAUAUUGAUCGACUCCCCCAGCACCCAAACUCCCUUUGCUAACAAAUUAUUUCUCAUUGAAGGUAGCCCACUGGACCAAGAACGCUCACAAUUGCAAAAUCAAUUUUUGUCCAGCACACGGAGUGACAAGUUUUCUCUUCUUUUAUUCCUGAUUAAGAAAUUAAGACCCUGAUUAAGAAAUUUCAUGCAUCUCCAGUGGGCUUUGGCUUGGCUGGGAGAGCCCCAUGUGUCGGCUGCAGUGAGUGAAGCAAGCAUGGCAUGAGUUUGCCUAAAUGGCCCACGAUCUCAUGGUCUGUGAAGCCUCUGGCACCAAGAAGCAGUGAGUUCAGAUCCAUGCUGGGCCAGUACAAGAGCACUGGGCAGCCACUGGGAACAGAGCGAGUGGGUUCAGGCCAGCCUGCAAACAGCAAAUGUGCCCAGUCCAAGAACUGCUUCACGACUGGGAAAUUUUCUUGCUUGCUGGUGGCCUUGGCAAAGCUGCCCUGCUUUGGAUGGGCUCUAAGGAGUGGAUUAUGUCAGCUUUCUUGCAAGGGGCCCCUGCUGGCCCUACGUGGAGAAAAGGGCACGUAGCAAGAGAUUUGUUAAAGGGUGCUGUGUCCCGGUUCAUUGCUGGGAACGGGGGCAGAGGAGGGAAAGCAAACAGCAUCAGCUCCUCUGCCUGUGCCCUGAGCCAGCAGGACUCAAGGUGCUCGAUCCCCUGCGAACAAGAGUGAUGGGUUGCAGGGUGCAGAGAUGUUAAGCCUCAGAGACGCUGCAGGAUCAGGCCUAGGCUGACCUAGGAUGCAAUGCCCUGCUCUGUGAUGGAUGUCCCAGCUCUGUGGGUUGGGCUCAGACUGAACAUUGCUGUAACUUCGUCUUUGUCGGUUUAAUUUUCUAAUAACAUAUUUAACCGAGCAAUGCAGCCAGACUGGAGCCAUAGCCCAGAACAGCAGUUGGCAUGAAAAACUCUACUGUAUUUCUGACACUAGGGUCUUUUAUAGCCAGGGUAUGAUGGUUUCAGCACCAGUGCAAUUGCAAGUAAGUAUUAAAUAUCCCAAUUAGCGCAAUUCACAGUUAUCGACAACACUGUUUUCUUUCCAACAUUCCCCAAGGACAAGAAAAUGCUCUGUGCAAAUCUGAAAGCUUUGGAAAGAGGAGGUGUGCACCAGUGGGGUGCUGCAGCCCUCACCAUGGGGAGUUUCAGAGCCGAUUUGGGGCUGGGCAGAAGCAACACAUCGGCUUUGUUAGGCAGCCAAGGGAAAAUAGAGUCAACGGCCCUAAUCCCCCACCUGAGAGGGGCAUGUGGAGCAACAGGUACUGAAACUAAUGGCAUUUGUUGGAGUCUCAAACAGCAGAGUGAAGAAAUGAGAAGACAGCGGGCCUGAAGGAGAGAGGUUCACCCAGCAGAAGUCUGCAUCGCUUCAGCAUCUGCACAAGCCUCCAAGCACAGGCGUUUAGCUUGCAUUUCCACCUGCUUUGUGAAGGUGGAAAUGAGAAGAGGAAAGUCUUUGUAGUCAUGAAAUGUUCAAGGGAGGAUCACAGUAUUAAAACCAUGCCUCCAGGUUAGACUGUGAGCCCAGGUGGGUCUGGCUGGUUUGUGUCCCUGCUAAACCCGUGCUGCUAGCUGCACUUUGUGACUGCUGCCCAUGCAGCUAUGUAAAAAUGUCGUUUGCCCAAGCCCAUUUUACUGGUUUGUUCUAGAUUUGUGGAGUAAAAGAAGUAAUAAAUUUCUUCUUAUUUUCUUCUUUCUAGCCUGGUUACCUAACUUCAUUUGCAGUAUAAGGGCAUGAGCCUCCAAAUGCAGGUGUGUGCACUCAGUAAGUACACAAUAUUGGUGGAAUACAGGAUUGACUUCCGAGGAUCAGUGAUUACAAAAUGAUCAUUUUAUCCUAAAUUCUUUAUAUUUUGCUUGUUUUCUUCUUCUUGCUCUGUGAAGCCAGAGAGGGAAACUACACAGCUACAGAAAGAUGUUGGAUUUGAAGAGUUAAAAGAUGACAGUCAAAA